AUGUCUCGGGGCAGAGCGCUUGCCCAGCAUGUGCUAGGCCUUGGGUCCAAUCCCCAGGACAGCAAGAAAGGAAGGAAGGAAGGGCGAGCCAAGAAAGAGGAGCCCACUCAUGAAUGUAUUUGUUCUUUCACAGGCAGUCACGAAGCUGCUUCAUUACCACUGAGCUGAGCAAAUGCCUUUCUCUUCCGGGCUUUAUUUCCUCUUUCACCUGAUUAACCCUCGGGGUUGCUUUCUCAAAGAAGCUUCUGGACUCCUCUGGCUGGAAGGAGCACCUCUGCUGAGUUCACACACAUUCUUGGACAACACUGAAGAAAAGGCUACAAUUGGGUCAUCCUCUAGGAGUAUCUGGCUGUUGGAUUCUUCAACCCUGUUAUGCACACUGGAGAGAGUGGGUGGAAGGUAGGGUGUUUCAGCCCUGUGCACUGGGGUGGAAUGGGAAGAGAAAUGUGUAUUCAGAGAGGAUGAACUGCUUAACAGUAGUCACAUUUAGUCUAAAAUUAAAGCUAAUUUUUUUUUUAAACUAACGAAGUACUAAGUUGCAAUAUAUUGUGAAACAAGGAACAAAGGAAAGAGGAAAACCAUCUCUGAGUUCACAGGAACACAAGUUAUCAGCCUUGUGUACUUUAAUGUGUAACUCUCAAGAUACAAGACACUGCAUCUAAAAUUAUAAAUUAUAUCAUUAUCAGUCAUCAAGGGCACCAGAAUGAACAGCAUCUUCAUAACCUCCACGUUUAUCAUCUUUACUUUCUGGGUGUAAUUUAAUCAGAUCAUCAAUUCGAAGAAUGGUAAUUGCAGCUUCUGUUGCAAAUUUCAAGCUCUUUACUUUAACUAUGGUUGGUUCAAACACUCCUGCUUGCUUGUUGUCUCUUGGUUUACCAUUGAUCAAAUCAAGACCAAUCCUGCAAUUAAGGGAAAAAACUGGGUAAAUGAUCUCUUACAAGUUGAUUAAGCAGUCCAUUCUCCCUAUUCCUGAGAAAUGCUGAGGACUGCAGUAGUUAAUUAAGAUACGUUAUGUACAUGUACCAACUCCCCACAAUGGAUGUAACCAUUAAAUACUACAAAAAUGUACUAAUAAAAAAUUAAAGAUACAGCAGUUAUGACUGACAAGUGUAACUGAGCACCAUCAAUAGGCCGAGAGGGUAGCAAAGAAACCACGAUUCCAUGCCCAGCAUGGUGACACACACCUGUAAUUCCAGCACUUGGGAGGCUGAGGCAGUACAAUAACCACAAGUUCAAAGCCAACCUAGGCUACAUAGUGAGUUCAAGGUUGGCCUGAACUACACUGUGAGACCCUGUCUUCAAAACAAAACAAAACAAAACAAAAAUAAAAACCCGAUACCAAGGAUCACUAUAUUUAAUAUAUAGUCAUGUGCUGUACGACAACAUUUUGGCCAAGAUGCACGUACAGGAUAGUGGCCAAAAGAUUCCGCCUACUGACAUCACAGCUGUCUUGGUUUAUUUAAAUACACGGUAUGAUGUUCUUACAACAAAUCACCUAACGAGAGACUCCUUAGGACGUAUUCCUGUUGAAGCCAUGCAUGACUCUAAGGGGGCUGGCUGAAAAUAUGGCUCAUCCUUAAAUCUCUUAGACUUUCCUGCAAGUAAAUGAUUCUAACGAGGAAAGCAGGGUAGGAAUCAGUUAAGCAGUCACCAUCCUUUGGAUAAAGCUGUGACUGACUGAGCAAUAACAAGCCAUUGUAAUGUUUAGGGCUUUUUUUUAUUUUUAUUUUUUGGUACUGGGGAUUGAACUCGGUUCCUCGUGCUUGUGCAGCAGGCGGUGAAACCACUGAGCUAAAUGCCCAGCCCUGUUUAAGUCUUUUGACAAGUCUGUGUUGACAUUUGCUGACCUUCUAGUUGAUCACUGUCAUUUUAAAUGACAUUUUCCAAAGUUAUAGAAAGGGAUUUAUUUGAAGAAAAAUAUUUAUUGGUACAUUUUAGACAUACAUACUAAUAUUCAUCAUAGGAUCAUAGGGAAUGUGUACCAGUACAUGAUAUAUCUUGCUUCUUCCUCCCACCCCCAUCUCUCUCAUGUACAAGAUUUGUUUCCAUUUUUUCCUUGGAUUUCCUUUCUUUUUUUGUCCCUUCUAGAAAAGGGUUUUUUAAAAAUGCUAUGCUUUGGGCCGGGGAUUUAACUCAGUGCUGCCACUGCCUGCCUCACAAGGUCCCGAGUUCGAUCCCCGACACCAAA
rnacentral:lncRNA from 1 species